rnacentral:rRNA from 1 species
UACGUAGGGGGCAAGCGUUGUCCGGAAUCAUUGGGCGUAAAGAGCGUGUAGGCGGCUCGGUAAGUCCGCUGUGAAAGUCCAGGGCUCAACCCUGGGAUGCCGGUGGAUACUGUCGGGCUCGAGUCCGGAAGAGGAGUGUGGAAUUCCUGGUGUAGCGGUGAAAUGCGCAGAUAUCAGGAAGAACACCAGUGGCGAAGGCGGCUCUCUGGGACGGUACUGACGCUGAGGAGCGAAAGCGUGGGGAGCGAACAGG